AGAGCUCAGUAAAGUGCUGUUUUUUCUGUGCAUGCUGGAAAUUUGCCCGGUGCAAAUUUUCACAACAGCAACACUGGCACACACCUCUGCCAGUUUCAGGACCCCUGCACGAUUCAUCACUGCUCU